rnacentral:lncRNA from 1 species
UUAGUUUAUCUUUAUGGUAAUUAAUUUGUUUAGUGCUGUUCGAAAAAGCAUUAAUAGUUUUUGACACCAUUGCUUUAAACUAGAAAUUUUGCUUUUGGAGCUCAAAAGUUCAUUUUAGACUUCUGAUGAAGCCCGAAAUAUCAAUCGGUCAGAUUCAGGGUAAGGGCGUCAAUAGAUUGGAUAGGUAUUGAUGUCAAUGGGUUGGAUUUUGGUGGGUUUUCAUAAACCGAAUCUGAACCCGACAGUCAAACUCGAAAUUCGAAUUUGAUGGAUUUUGAUAGUCUACUACAUCCUAACUUGAACCCAAAUAAAGCCCAAACCAGUAACAUCGCAAACCCAAAAUGAUUACUUCUCUUUACCAUCUUUCGAAAUAUAUUAUAUUAAAAUCUAAAAUUUCAAAAUACAAAUUCAAAUAUAUGCAAUCAAAAAUUCAUAUAUAUUAUAUAAUAUAAAAUCAAUUCUGGUCUGGGUCAGGGUUGGGUCUGG